rfam:Camelus ferus unplaced genomic scaffold scaffold1879, whole genome shotgun sequence.
GAGGAUAGAGCUCAAUGGUAUAGUGCAUGCUUAGCAUGCAGGAGGUCCUGGGUUCAAUCCCCAGUGCCUCCA